AUUUGCCUUGACCUCCGCCCCCCCCCCCCCUAUCCUUUGAACUGGUUUUUGUGGGCAAAAGAAAAUAACUGAAUAGAGUUGCAAAUCACUGUCAAAAAGGCUAACGUGUGUGAGUGUAGUUGAAGUCACUGGAGCAGAUGAAGUCUGUGUGACGAAAAGCAGAAACUGUUUAUAUCUGAGUUCAUAAUGAGCUGCUUUGAAAAAUUGUUCAAUUCUAGAGCUUUGAGAGAAAGUGUAGAGAAGCUUGUAUUUGUAGAAUACUAUUAGUAAGCAUGUUAUGCAGUGUUGAUGUUUGAACAUGUUCCUAUGUUAUCCUAGAAUUUUAAAUCAUGGUGGGCAUGAACUGAGGUUUGCCCUUGUGUCACAUGACCGCAGGGAAAUGUCGUUGUGUCACAUGACCUCAGUGUUA